rnacentral:rRNA from 1 species
AUACGAAGGGGGCUAGCGUUGUUCGGAUUUACUGGGCGUAAAGCGCACGUAGGCGGAUUGAUUAGUUAGGGGUGAAAUCCCGAGGCUCAACCUCGGAACUGCCUUUAAUACUGUCAAUCUCGAGACCGGAAGAGGUGAGUGGAACUCCUAGUGUAGAGGUGGAAUUCGUAGAUAUUAGGAAGAACACCAGUGGCGAAGGCGGCUCACAGGUCCGGUACUGACGCUGAGGUGCGAAAGCGUGGGGAGCGAACAGGAUUAGAUACCCUAGUAGUCC